rnacentral:rRNA from 1 species
GACGAACGCUGGCGGCGUGCUUAACACAUGCAAGUCGAACGGAAAGGCCCUGCUUUUGUGGGGUGCUCGAGUGGCGAACGGGUGAGUAACACGUGAGUAACCUGCCCUUGACUUUGGGAUAACUUCAGGAAACUGGGGCUAAUACCGGAUAGGAGCUCCUGCUGCAUGGUGGGGGUUGGAAAGUUUCGGCGGUUGGGGAUGGACUCGCGGCUUAUCAGCUUGUUGGUGGGGUAGUGGCUUACCAAGGCUUUGACGGGUAGCCGGCCUGAGAGGGUGACCGGGAAAGGUGAUGGGAGAAAGGGGACAAGAGGGGUGAGGGCGGGGGGAGGGGGGAGGAUGGAACAGGGGAGGGAAGCAGGAGGCAGAAGGGGGGGGGGGGGGAGGACGGCGGGGGGGUGGAGAACCGGUGGAGAGUGAGAGGAAGCGGGAGGGAGGGAAGGGGGAAAAGAAGAACGGGCGAACUACGGGGCAGGAGCGGAGAAAAUGGGAGGAAGAACAAGAGUACACAC